AAAAGGUUUUCGUAGUUCACGGUAAGUUUUGUACGUUUUUACCUAAUGUUUUAACCUAAAGAGUCGUUCAUAUAAUGUAAUGAUAAGGAGUGAGUGUGAUAUACUAGACCUUAGCAAAUAGGCAAGGUUGUAGUAUGAAUUUUUAAUCAAUUUUCUUUUUAUAUAGUACUUGAUUGAGUUGGAGACGUUCUUGUGUGAAAUACACGCAAAAACGGACUUAGAAACUCAAGAUUCAAUUUGUGAAGAAAGUUGAAAUAUUUGAUCUUUGAGGGACCUAUUGGCAUUUUUGCUAUUAUUAUGAAUGGAGUCCAUGUAGGCACUUGAGGCUUCAUACUUAUCCACUUUAUUCCUUCACCUUGAAGAAUAAGGAUAGAGAGAUAGAGUUUGAGCUCGAAGAAAAACAAAGAGAAAGCUUGGUUUCAUUCUAGCGAGUGAGCGAGCGAGUCAAGCGUGCGCACGUGUACUUUUUGGUGUUUCGGCGUCACGGAGCGAAUUUUGCGUAAUUUUGACGAGGGAUUUUCGAGUUAUUUUAGAGUAUUGUGGCUACUAUCAGUCUACCGUUCAUUUCCUCGGACUUGCGUUAUAGGUGGGUUCCGUGUUGUCAAAAUUGACAGACUAAUUUCUAUAUCCAUAUUAUAUUAUUUAGCCUGCGAGAUGAUCUGUUGACAUAAUUGAGAUAAUAGUGAUAUUUUGACACCAAUCAGUAGUAUUUUGGACACUAUGACAGUAUUAUCAUGAUUUGUUUGAUCAUUAUAUUUGACCACAGCCUACAUACUAUAUUGAGUUUGAUAGUGAUACUAUAUUCGGUUGGAGUAGCGCCGUGAGAGUGCCACUCCGGAGAUUGGGCUAUGAGAUAUUAUUAUGGCAUGGGCCAGACAGUAGCCUGCGUAGUAGCAGACCACUAUAGGUGGGUGUUGGACACAAGGCAGCGUAGACUAGACUUGACUGUUGAGUCGAUCACUAUGAUUGAGUCUUAUUGCAAUGUUUAAUUCCGUAACUAAUUGAUGCAUGACAUAUAUGAAUUACAGAUUUCAGUUAUAUUGUAGAGGCAGGAUAGUAGUUAUUUUUAGCCAUUGUUCAUAUUAGUACUUGUUUAUUUACAGUUUUAUACUGCUCAAUCAUUUACUAUUUUUAUGUCUUAUGGACCUAGUGGUAUAGACAGUCGGCGUUGACGAUCGUACCCACUAGGGAUUAUUGAUUAUAGUUCUUAUAUCCUCUUUAUUAAUAUUUUAUUUCAGAACCUUCAGCACCAGCGACUAAUUGAGGUAAGAGGAUUGCGGAUAGUUAGCAUCUCCUACCCAUUUUGUGUGUGUAAUUGGACCACCUAUCACUGUAUAUUGCAGUCUAUACAGCGUUUUAAGGUUUGGAGUGGUCAGAAAUGUUAUACCAUUUUGUGGACUGGUGUGGUAAUGAUUGUAUAUCUUUACAGUAUUGUUAUAGUAUAUAGUUUUUAUUUUUCUCUGA